ACGGAAGGCAGCAGUGAGGAAUAUUGGUCAAUGGGCGCGAGCCUGAACCAGCCAAGUAGCGUGAGGGAUGACUGCCCUACGGGUUGUAAGCCUCUUUUGUUUGGGAAUAAAGUAGCCUACGUGUAGGCUUUUGCAUGUACCUUUCGAAUAAGCAUCGGCUAAUUCCGUGCCAGCAGCCGCGGCAAUACGGAAGAUGCGAGCGUUAUCCGGAUUUAUUGGGUUUAAAGGGAGCGUAGGCGGCCUUUUAAGUCUGCGGUCAAAUGUCAGGGCCCAACCUUGGCAUGCCGUGGAUACUGAUGGGCUUGAAUACAUGCAAGGCAAGUGGAAUUCGUCGUGUAGCGGUGAAAUGCUUAGAUAUGACGAAGAACUCCGAUUGCGAAGGCAGCUUGCUGGUGUGCGAUUGACGCUGAGGCUCGAAAGUGCGGGAAUCAAACAGGAUUAGAUACCCUGGUA
rnacentral:rRNA from 1 species